rnacentral:rRNA from 1 species
AUUGAACGCUGGCGGCAGGCCUAACACAUGCAAGUCGAGCGCGAAAGCACUUCGGUGUGAGUAGAGCGGCGGACGGGUGAGUAACGCGUAGGAAUCUACCUAGUAGUGGGGGACAACUCGGGGAAACUCGAGCUAAUACCGCAUAAGCCCUACGGGGGAAAGCGGGGGACCUUCGGGCCUCGUGCUAUUAGAUGAGCCUGCGUUGGAUUAGCUAGUUGGUGGGGUAAAGGCCUACCAAGGCGACGAUCCAUAGCUGGUCUGAGAGGAUGAUCAGCCACACCGGGACUGAGACACGGCCCGGACUCCUACGGGAGGCAGCAGUGGGGAAUAUUGCGCAAUGGGCGAAAGCCUGACGCAGCCAUGCCGCGUGUGUGAAGAAGGCCUUCGGGUUGUAAAGCACUUUCAAUUGGGAGGAAAGGUUCACGGUUAAUAACCGUGAGCUGUGACGUUACCUUUAGAAGAAGCACCGGCUAACUCCGUGCCAGCAGCCGCGGUAAUACGGAGGGUGCGAGCGUUAAUCGGAAUUACUGGGCGUAAAGCGCGCGUAGGUGGUCUGUUAAGUCGGAUGUGAAAGCCCCGGGCUCAACCUGGGAACUGCAUUCGAUACUGGCAGACUAGAGUGCGAGAGAGGGAGGUAGAAUUCCAUGUGUAGCGGUGAAAUGCGUAGAUAUGUGGAGGAAUACCAGUGGCGAAGGCGGCCUCCUGGCUCGACACUGACACUGAG